GACAGAGGUGCCGAGCGUUAGGCGGAAUCACUGGGCUUAAAGCGUGUGUAGGCGGAUCGUUAAGUACCUUGUGAAAUCCCACGGCUUAACCGUGGAACUGCUUGGUAUACUGGCGAUCUUGAGCCACCUAGGGGCAACCGGAACAAAUGGUGGAGCGGUGAAAUGCGUAGAUAUCAUUUGGAACGCCAAUGGUGAAAACAGGUAGCUGGGAGUGUGCUGACGCUGAGACACGAAAGCCAGGGGAGCGAACGGG
rnacentral:rRNA from 1 species